CUCCGUCUGACGGGCGCAGCGGGAGCGUCUGAGAGGAGGAUGAAGAUGAGGUUUAGUGAUGUGUGCUUCAUGUUGUCUACGUUGAUGAGAUCAAACACAAGUUGUUCCCCAGACUUAACUUUGGAUUAAAGCAGACGCUGUUACACUUUACCAGAAGGGGAAAAUAAUUAGCCUCAUUUAAUGCAAUCAAUUAACAUUAGUUAGUGCAAUAAUAAGCAACAGUUAAAGUUUCAACUUACUGUUUACUAACAGUUAAUUAAAAAUGAACUUAUGUUCUAGUAACAAUCAACAUAAGUUAGCAUAGGGGUUAAUUAAUUGUUAAUGAAUGCGUAUUACUGCUUUAAAUUAUAUUAAUUAAUGGUGAACUAAUCCAGCCUUAUUGUGAAGUGAUAUCAGUUAUUUUUGUUCCUACUGUUUAGAUUCUUUGGUAAAAGCUUCUUGCUCAUGGAUGCCUUGAACCCAGAUCCUUGUGUAGAAAACUAGUACCAUCAGAAUGUCUCCCUUUGUGGAUAGUUUGGUUUGUUCAACAUACCAACACACCGUCUGGAACAAAAGAGAAAUUAAGAAAUUAUCUAAAUAUAUUUUGCCUUCACAAAAUCCAGCACUAUAGUAACCCCUGCACAGCCCAUAAUCCCAAUCCAACACUAUAGUAACCCCUGCACAGCCCAUAAUCCCAAUCCAUCACUAUAGUAACCCCUGCACAGCCCAUAAUCCCAAUCCAACACUACAGUAACCCCUGCACAGCCCAUAAUCCCAAUCCAUCACUAUAGUAACCCCUGCACAGCCCAUAAUCCCAAUCCAUCACUAUAGUAACCCCUGCACAGCCCAUAAUCCCAAUCCAUCACUAUAGUAACCCCUGCACAGCCCAUAAUCCCAAUCCAACACCAUAGUAACCCCUGCACAGCCCAUAAUCCCAAUCCAACACUAUAGUAACCCCUGCACAGCCCAUAAUCCCAAUCCAUCACUAUAGUAACCCCUGCACAGCCCAUAAUCCCAAUCCAACACUACAGUAACCCCUGCACAGCCCAUAAUCCCAAUCCAUCACUAUAGUAACCCCUGCACAGCCCAUAAUCCCAAUCCAUCACUAUAGUAACCCCUGCACAGCCCAUAAUCCCAAUCCAUCACUAUAGUAACCCCUGCACAGCCCAUAAUCCCAAUCCAACACCAUAGUAACCCCUGCACAGCCCAUAAUCCCAAUCCAACACUAUAGUAACCCCUGCACAGCCCAUAAUCCCAAUCCAUCACUAUAGUAACCCCUGCACAGCCCAUAAUCCCAAUCAACACUAUAGUAACCCCUGCACAGCCCAUAAUCCCAAUCCAUCACUAUAGUAACCCCUGCACAGCCCAUAAUCCCAAUCCAACACUAUAGUAACCCCUGCACAGCCCAUCACAAUGUUCACUCAUUCUGCGCCCACGUCAGGCACCGUAGUCGCAGUGCAUGCCUGGACUGUGAUGUAUUGUUCAUGUUAUAGCUCGUCUGGUCCCUCUGUGCACGCCAAGGGGAUGUAGGUUGUAAACACGUCUAUAAUUACAGCAUAGAGCAUACAGAGUGGAUCUCACCUGUGGCCUCUGUGCUUUAAUGCACAGCCCCGCCUGUGGGUGGAAUGUGGUUCAACGAUGGACGUAAAGAGUGAAUGAAGCUGUUGGAUCGUUGAGUAACCCGAGGAAUGUAGACAUGUCUCGCUUGUAGAGACCUGCACACUUUAAUGGCGAUACAUCAUUCAAUACAGACAUGUUAUUUUCCUAUUGCCAUGGCAUUGUGUGUGUGUGUGUGUGUGUGUGUGUGUGUGUGUGUUGGAAAACACCAGACUAAUGAAUCGAUUUGUUCAUUCAUUGUGUAUACGUGCUGUUAAUUAACCUCGAGUUCCCCUUCGCAGUCAAGUUGGAUUAUGUAUGAAAUAUGAAUUGUUUAAUAAUACUGUCGUCAAGUUGGGUUUGCUGCUGACAUUUGUGUGCUGAUCUUGUGUUUGUGGCGCGUGGCGCGGGAUGGUAAAUACAUCAUUAAUCUUUAUCUCUUCUGAUCAUUUAUUCCACGAGAAACGCACUGGCCCUGCAGCCCCUGACAGAUUGAAAUGGCUUUCCAUCAGACUCAGAUUCUGUUUUAGUUCGUACUGCAGUACAUUGUGUGUUGCCGUGUCCUUCACACAGAGGGGGGUUGUACAUGUUCUUAACUGUGUUUGUACAGUUUUAAAUUCCAUUUAUUUUUCUGAUCGUCAUGACGACGUUGUCUUCCUGUCUUGUGUCUCUCCUCACCCUGCACGCGUUGAGCUCCUGUCACGAGAAGCCUCUCAACGGAUCCUUUGCAGCCUGAGUCCUUUCCUCAAAUACACAUGUGAGGGCGGAUGUGCCUUGUCUUACCUGGUUUUUGGUUGGAGAACGAGGGUGGAGGAUCUCUACUCCCCGGAGCGGCAGAGUCUCAGAGGGGCCCUGUGGCUUCCACCCACUUCCUCUCCCGCUGACCUACUUCCUGUAUUCUCCAGGCUCUCAAAAAGUUAAACGCUAAACUUCCUGCGCAUUGUUUGAGUGCUCGCAGUUGAUUGGAUGUAGUGACGACGCUCUUGUAAUGACAUGUAUUCAUUCAUCGCUCUGACGUGUUUAUACAAAGUCCCAUAUUGCUUACCAAAAGCAACACAGAGCCAAACAACCACUUUUAUUUAAAAAAGAUAAAUUGUGCUUGAAUUCAUUGGUGGCAGUGUGCUUACCUCUUCUCGCGGGCGUCCUUCCGCCUGUCUCAUUGCGGC
ensembl:lncRNA